CUGCAAUGAUGACUUCUUAGGACACCUUUGGAUGAAUAAUGAAAAGAAUCAACAUUUCCUGAGCAGC